rnacentral:misc_RNA from 1 species
ACCACCCUCGGGCCCCCUGGGGGGCCCGGUGCUGGGGGCACGGCCGAGGCCGCCCCCUAAAUGCAGUGGCGACCCCGCCGCGUCCUCCCCUGCGCAGUAGCACAAUCUCGCACCGGAAGCGCGGAGGCGGUCACGCCUGGAAACGCCCCAACUCAACGC